rnacentral:pre_miRNA from 1 species
UUGUAAUUUGUGGAACAUUAAUUAGACAGAUGAAAGAUGCAACAUGAAAUGAAAUACAAGGAAAACGAGAUCAUCGUCAUCCAUCAAUUUCCUUUGCUUUUGCCCUUUUCCACUUAGUUUCUUGUACGCAUGCUAUGUUAACUCUCCCUCGCAUAACUGUAUUCAUUAACUCCAUACUCUAAGCUGUUAGAAUUGCUACAUUCCAUGUGGCUAGACGAAUUCCAAGAGAAUAGGAUUUGUCGAGUCACAUGGAAUGUAGGAACUCUAACAGGUAAGAGUACGGAGUUAGUAGAUACAAUGAGGCGAAGUAGAAUUAACAUAGUAUGUGCCUAUAGGAAAUUAAGUGGAAAGAGGCAAAAGCUAAGGAAAUUAAUAGAUGAUGAUGAUUGCAUUUUCCUUAUAUUUCAUGUUGUUUAUUUAAUCUCUAUAAUUAAUGUUUUACAAAUUAUAA